UGUCUCUAUGACUUUUGGACUACUGUUGUGUAGUACUAUUCAUCUUUUGUUAUCUUAAACUUUGUGUUGUAAUUAAAAUUGUUUUCUUAAUGAUUUAUUUAAUCAUUUUUUUUUUAUGCAAAAUAUUGUUCAUUUGGAGUUUGGGGUUCUUGAUGGUUGUAUGUGUAUUGGCCACCAAAUUAAACAUUCAAGUGUUUCAUCAAUUAAAUUAAUUUUUCAUUUAUGUGAUAAAUAUUCCAUAAUAGGUGUUAAAUUACUUGCCAAUAAGAAAUUCAUGGGCCUAACUCAUCUCAUAAAACCGGUUCAAUAGGAGAGGGUUGUUUAUUCCUUAUAAACAUGCCAAAAGUCUUCUUCACAGGCAAUGUGAGAUUAUUUCUCAACACCCUCUCUCACGUGCAUGGAGGUAUUUUUUCUAGUCAUUGUCACGAGGUAAGUAAUGUGAGCCUCAUUUGUCCUGUGGUAGGCUUUGAUACCACAUAAAUUACCAGUUGUCCCAAAAACUUAAGCUAAUUGGAAGAUGCAAAUUUAAUCACUUAAUCAUAUUACUUUAACAAUAGGAAUAUGAUGAUAAAACAAAUGUAUCGUUGUUAUGAUAGACUUCGGUGAACCCUCGAGUGUAUGUGAGUUUUGUUUAUUGUAAUCGAACUACGUCAUAUAGCAGGUGUUUGGUUGGAGUUGUUGUCUAUUAUGAUUCUCUCUAAGGCUUACAGGUGGGUUGGCCUUUGGUGUGGGCUUCAGAUGUUUAGUUUUUAUUGUUGGGUUUGACUGAAGUUACAAUGAAGAUGUUUCAUUAUGGAGAAGAUUAAACAAGAAAACUACUAAUCAUUUGCUGAUUUAUGGCCCCUUAAUUUGAAGCUCAUGAUAGUAGAUUCAAGUGCUGGUACCUUUUUUUUUUUCAAUAACAAAAACAACAUUGAUAGUGAGACUUGUUAAUGCUCAUUUAUUUAUUUACAGUAUGAUGUAUCCUCACUGAUGUAAUGACCAAGUAACCCUAAUAUUGCUACUCUUACAGAAAAAUCUAGCUUGGAGACAAUAAGAAGCUGUCCUACUAUAGUUCGUGUCCAGUCGAAAUUUAGUACUACUCAAAUAGAUGAACCAAACAGUCAUUGACCAAGAUGUAUGUUUUAUACGGGCCUGGGGACAGAACACUGUUGACCUGGACUCCCCAGCAGGACGACCGAGAUCAUCGAUGGCUAGUCACCAAGGUGAUGGUAACAAUCCAAAUGAGGAUGAGGGUGAGUCUGAGGAUGAGGAUACACAAGAGCUCCUUCGGUGAUGGUUUUUGAAGGGUUAUUUGGACAUAUUUUCAUUUUGGUUGCUUUGUUGGACCAUUCUUCUGGAUGUUUAGAGUAUGUGAUGUAUCGAGCAAAUAUUUUGACAUAUUUAUUUAUUUAUUUGGGU